GCCUAUUCCAAUUUGUUACUUGUACCUAUCAAAAAAUAAUGGCAACCCACAUCAAUUUUCUUCUUUUUAUCUUUGCAAUUAUAUGCAUUGCUUCAACCAUGGUUACAGAAGGAGGUUUGACAGGGAGAGGAAAAUGUGUUAUUAUGGGAGCAUGUCCGGAUGGACAACAACAGUGUUACAACUAUUGGAAGUCAAGAGGUUUCUCUAAAGGUGGCGAGUGUGUGAAAGAUACAAACUUUUGUUGUUACACUACUUGAAGAGAUUUAUGUUUGAUAAUUGCACUUUUUCAAUAUGUUUAUACAAGCUUAUCUACAAAAAGUCUUUAUGAUUUUCAUUAAAAAUAAGAUUAAAAGGUGUAAUUUCAAUUAAAAAUAAUAAUACUAUGAUUGUAGUAUAAAUAAAAAGUUAUAUUUUAACAUA